rnacentral:rRNA from 1 species
GGUAAAUCUCGUGCCAGCCACCGCGGUCAUACAGGAGGCUCAAAUUAACUUUACAACGGCGUAAAGAGUGGUCGCAUGUUAUCCAAGUAGCUAAGAUUAAAAAGCAACUGAGCUGUCAUAAGCCCAAGAUGCUCAUAAGGCCUCCGUCUUCAAAGAAGAUCUUAGAACAACGAUUAAUUGAAGCCACGAAAGCCAGGACCCAAACUGGGAUUAGAUACCCCACUAUGCCUGGCCCUAAAUCUUGAUGCUCGAUAUUACCUGAGCAUCCGCCCGAGAACUACGAGCACAAACGCUUAAAACUCUAAGGACUUGGCGGUGCUCCAAACCCACCUAGAGGAGCCUGUUCUGUAAUCGAUGAUCCACGAUAUUACCUGACCAUUCCUUGCACGAAACAGCCUAUAUACCGCCGUCGCCAGCCCACCUUUCCUGACAGCCCAACAGUGGACGCAAUAGCCUAACCCGCUAGCAAGACAGGUCAAGGUAUAGCCCACGGAAUGGAAGCAAUGGGCUACAUUUUCUAGACUAGAACACACGGAUAAGGGUAUGAAACUGCCCUUGGAAGGCGGAUUUAGCAGUAAAGAGAGACAAUGGAGCCCUCUUUAAGCCGGCUCUGGAGCACGUACAUACCGCCCGUCACCCUCCUCAUAAGCGACCAACACACCCCAUACCUAAUAAGCCAUUCAGCUAA